ensembl:lncRNA
CUUCCAAUCUCAUGCUGAUGCAACGGUUGAAAGCUCAAGCAUGGAAAUCCUGCGAGUUGUAAACAAAGAUUUGAACAAUACCAGAUGAACAAAAGUGUCACAAGUGAACCACGACAGUCUCCAAUCUCACAGUUCAUGGAGAACCGUGUAGGGCAGUACAGCAUGAAUCAUUCACAGCAGAAAGCUAUCAACAAUACAAUACUGUCUGACCUGGUUAUCGAUUGCAACUUGCCUCUGUCUAUUGUGGAAAACAAGAGUUUUCAUCACUCUCUGUCAGUGGUUGACAGUAAGUACAGCCCAGUGUGUCGUAGAACAUUGACAUCAAAAGUAGAGAACCUCGCUACAGAGAGACGUUCAAAACUGAAAACUCAGUUGAGCAACACAGACCAUGUUUCAGUCACAGUGGACAUUUGGUCUGACCGAAAGAUGAGGGGGUUCCUUGGUGUCACUGUGCACUGUAUGGAGAAAGAUGGAGAGAGGAUACAGCUCAAGUCCAAUCCCUUGGCCUGUGACUGCUUCAAAGGCCCACACACGGCCGAAAGAAUCUGUGAGCAAUUUGAGGCCAUAUGUGGUGAGUACAGCAUUAAAGAUAAAUUGGACUAUAUCAUUAGUGACAAUGCUGCCAACAUGAGAAAAGCAUUCACUGUGUGCUUCCCCAUUGAACAAGAAGAUGAAGUACAUGACGAAAAUCACCUUGAUGACCCAGAGCUCUGGAAUGACCUAAACCUGGAAGACCAGCAAACAGUGGAUGCUGCAAUUGCAAAAAAAAACAGCACUUGCAGUGUUUUGCCCACUCUCAAGCCAUUUGGAGAAGCAACAGAUAUGACACAGGGGGAGAAGAUAGUCACAAUCAGUUCUGUUGUUCCCUCUGUCCUGUCCCUGAAUCACCACCUGGAGCAGCGGAAGCCUCAAGUCCAUUUCCUGAGCGGCCUUGUCAGAAGUCCCCAGGCAUCCCUGAACAAAAUAUUUAUUGGAAUCUUCAUCAAUGUGAAAAUGGCCAGGACACAAGAUGCCCCCUUUUCAGAUCCAAUCUACCUAAAAGCAGCUGCCUUGGAGCCUGCUUUUUCUCUGAUGUGGGUGGAGCACCAUGUUCUGGUCAAGGAGGAGGUCAAGGAGGAGGUGGCACAAAGAGUGAAAGAACUGAUGCUACAGGGACUGAGCAAGCUGUGCCUCUUGUUGAUGAGGAAGAGCGAGAGGUCCAUAGUCUUGGACAAGAAGAAGGGCUGUUUGCAGCAUACUGUAAGAAGCUGUUGGGACCACUCCAGCACUACAGCUAAGUCACUACCUUGACAUAUGCGAAGGACAGAGCGCCCUCUUGUUCUGGGCAAUGAACAGGAAGGCUCUUCCUUCACUGUCCUGAGUGGCCAUCAGGGUCUUGGCAGUUACUGCCUCCAGUGCUCCGGUGGAGCGUGUCUUCAGCCAUGGUGGUAUCAUCCUUCGGCCUCAUCGUGCACAAAUGACUGACAGACUUUUAUCGAAUUUGGUCUUUUGCAAAUGCAAUGCAUCAUAGGGUCCUGAGAUAAAAGAAACAUUUUCAUUUUAACUGUAUAUGCAUUACACACACACACACACACACACACACACACACACACACACACACACACACACACACACACACACACACGUAGUCACCAUGUUCAGGUUUUAUCUCCCAUCUUUGGGAUCUGUAUUUUCUUCUCAGACAUUCAGGCCAGUGUUCAAAUUGUAGGCCUACUUGAAGUUCCACAUCAGUUGUUUUGAUAUAUCUUUUAAGAAAUGAUUGUAAAGUUAUGGCAGGAUUGUUUUAGGUGUCUAGAGUAUAUCUGCAGACAGAGAGAGAGCACUACAAUAUUUUGUUUUUGUUUUCAUAUUGAUGUGUCUUUCUCAUAGCUACCCAUGUAUUUCCAUGGAAAUAUAAAGUUUAUUUGGGAAGAAAUAAAUAUAUAUAUUUUUAAAAGCAUUCAUGAUUUGCGUAAAUUUAAUAUACUAUUACUCUUGUUAAAUAUGAAAUGGUAUUAAAUUUGUUGAAGAGCACAUUAUGACUUGGAG